UAGUUAACCUAACAUGAUUUGGUCUGUUUAGAUUAAAUGUACGGUAUUUUAAAUAAAUUCAAAUAAUUUCCAUAACUACACGUUUAGUUUAUUCCAUACAUUUUACUACAAAAAUCUGAAUACCUUUGUUCAGUUAUUUUGAAAAUGCCUCAACAUAAAAUCCACAAUUUGACUACGAUGUUAGUUAUAAAAUUCUUAUGUUAGCAUUUAUUGCAUGAGGAAAGUCAAUUUGUUAUUGUUUAGUACAGCCUGUGGUUAGUCUUUGUGUAAUCUUAUCAAUUAUUCUAGGCAUAUGCGGGUAUGUGAGGUAUGCUCAUCGUAAACAAACCAUUUACUAUAAAUCAGAUUUUUUUUUUAUAUUGCCUAUUACUUACUAGUCUCAGUCACAACCAUAGUCACAACGAUGUCUCGUGUAGUAUUUUUGUGUGUUCUUAUUAUUGCGUGCGUGAGUGGACGCCUUAUAAAGGGUCCAAACAAUGAUCAAGGUUUUAAAACAAAGGAUUUGUCAGACAUUGGAAUCGAGAGCAAUGAAGUAAAAGUUCCGCCAGUAUUUGCUGGUGCCGAAGCAAAAUGUGCCCAAAUUGGUGAAUUUUGCACCUAUCAUUCGGACUGUUGCACUUACUCAUGCUUAGGGUAUAUGAAGAGAUGUGUCUCCGGAUCUGGCUAAAUUUGGACAAAAAACUCUUGAAGAUUGAACUGUUUUUAUAUUUUAUUGUGAUAUAUUAAGUCUUAUGUACGUAGGCUUUUCAAUUAAUACUAAACUUGGUUUCUACUUAUUUAUUUUCCUUAUUGGAUGGAUAGGAUGGUUAAGGUGGGAUAGAUCUGGUGGGUUUGCCGCGAAAUGUUGUAUUUCCUUCAUGGCAUCUUCCGAGAUUUUCCACAAUGCUGGAUACUCUUGUUUAAAAGUAUUAUACCAUUUAUGAAUCUGUAAAAAUGUUAAUAAUAAAUGAUCCAAAUAUUAUAUUCAGUAAAA